UUCCACGUGAUGAAACGGGAGUUUUUGAACUUGUGGGACGUAACUUUGAUGCUGAAGAAGAUCGACCAGGAGGGGCAGAUACAGCAGAUGCACUUGAUGAACUUAGUUGACGGGUUGGUGUCGCUGAUCUUGAUGUUGGUGCAGAAGGUCUGCCAGUUGGUGUAGAAGAGCGAGGAGUGGACCGAGAAGGAGUUGAAGAUCUCACUGGAGGAGCCGCAAGCUUUGCGGAUGAUGAGGUGGCUCGUGAAUUUGGGGUGGAGGAUCGUGAGGGCUUGGUUGAUGAAGGUAAUGUGGACCGCCCAGUUGGUGUUGUGGACCGUCCAGUUGGAGUUGUAGACCUACGAGUAGCAGCUCCUGACCCUCUGGGUGUUGAGGGCCUUCUGUUACCAGUACUGGAAGAGUUCAGUCCAGACGGCAAUGUUGGCUGCUUAGAU
rnacentral:lncRNA from 1 species